AGCGGCGGACGGGUGAGUAACGCGUGGGGAACCUGCCCUAUACAGGGGGAUAACAGUUAGAAAUGACUGCUAAUACCGCAUAAGCGCACGGAGCCGCAUGGCGCUGAGUGAAAAACGAUAGUGGUAUAGGAGGGACCCGCGUCUGAUUAGGUAGUUGGUGAGGUAACGGCCCACCAAGCCGACGAUCAGUAGCCGACCUGAGAGGGUGACCGGCCACAUUGGGACUGAGACACGGCCCAAACUCCUACGGAAGGCAGCAG
rnacentral:rRNA from 1 species